CCUACGGGUGGCAGCAGUGAGGAAUAUUGGUCAAUGGGCGCGAGCCUGAACCAGCCACGUAGCGUGAAGGAUGACUGCCCUACGGGUUGUAAACUUCUUUUAUAAAGAAAUAAAGUGAAGCACGUGUACCUUUUUGUAUGUACUUUAUGAGUAAGGAACGGCUAACUCCGUGCCAGCAGCCGCGGUAAUACGGAGGUUCCGAGCGUUAUCCGGAUUUGUUGGGUUUAAAGGGAGCGGAGAUGGGGUGUUAAGUCAGUUGUGAAAGUUUGCGGCUCAACCGUAAAAUUGCAAUUGAUACUGGCAGCCUUGAGUACAGUUGAGGGAGGCGGAAUUCGUGGUGUAGCGGUGAAAUGCUUAGAUAUCAAGAAGAACACCGAUUGCGAAGGCAGCCUACUAAACUGCCACUGACAUUGAGGCUCGAAAGUGUGGGGAUCAAACAGGAUUAGAUACCCUAGUAGUC
rnacentral:rRNA from 1 species